UUCAUCAGAGUAUUCUCGAAAAAGUUUCACAACCAAAAAGCAAAGAAAAAAAAGCAUCCAACAACUGAGAGAAUAAUGAGGCCAUCCAUCCUCAGAUCCAUUUACUCCUCCGUCUCCCGCAGCCGCUCUCACCUACUCUGUCAUGGCUAUUCUACCUAACCGGUCCCAGAACGCAAGUUGGCCAUCCUCGGCACUGCCGGCGGGAUCGGCUUUCCCCUCUCUCUUCUGAUGAAGCUCAACCCUCUUGUUUCGACCCUAUCUCUUUACGAUAUCGUUGGAACCCCUGGUGUUGCCGCUGAUGUUAGCCACAAUAACUUCAGAUCUGAGGUUUCUGGGUAUGCUGGUGAGGAAGAGCUCGGUAAAGCCCACAUGUACCGGUGACAAAUUUUCUUGGUGAUGAAGACAAUGGCAGAAGAAUUUUGAGAAACUUUGGUGAUGAAGACCAAUUUAAUAAAUUAAGUAUAGAGGAGCAGGAACGUUUUGAUGGUGUUGGACAACUGUGGAAUACUAUUCUCAACAAAGUGAAUACUUUUGAAAGCAUUGACAAACGAAAUACUUCAAAAUCAAUUCACAUCUCUAGAUUUCAUUUUGCCCCUUCCAAAAUGAAAACAAAACAUACACUUACUUUAGACAUGGCCCUUGUUAACAUGAUAAGCAACCCUGUGAAAAAAUGGAAGUUGUCGAUGCAAGCGGAAAAGGAAGUUGUUCAGUUGGCAUUACAAAAAAUGCUACAUGGCUUAUAAAUGGUUUGGAUAUUUUUGUAUGGUUUCACUUGUUUUGUUAUUGUUGUAGUAGUCCAUCGUGUGUAACCUUUCUUAUAAUUUUGUAGA